AUUGAACGCUGGCGGCAUGCUUUACACAUGCAAGUCGAACGGCAGCACGGGAGCAAUCCUGGUGGCGAGUGGCGAACGGGUGAGUAAUAUAUCGGAACGUGCCUUAUAGUGGGGGAUAACGCAGCGAAAGUUGCGGUAAUACCGCAUACGCCCUGAGGGGGAAAGCGGGGGAUCGAAAGACCUCGCGCUACUAGAGCGGCCGAUAUCUGAUUAGCUAGUUGGUGAGGUAAAGGCUCACCAAGGCUUCGAUCAGUAGCUGGUCUGAGAGGACGAUCAGCCACACUGGGACUGAGACACGGCCCAGACUCCUACGGGAGGCAGCAGUGGGGAAUUUUGGACAAUGGGGGCAACCCUGAUCCAGCAAUGCCGCGUGAGUGAAGAAGGCCUUCGGGUUGUAAAGCUCUUUUGUCAGGGAAGAAACAGCAGCUCUAACACAGCUGUGAAUGACGGUACCUGAAGAAUAAGCACCGGCUAACUACGUGCCAGCAGCCGCGGUAAUACGUAGGGUGCAAGCGUUAAUCGGAAUUACUGGGCGUAAAGCGUGCGCAGGCGGUUAUACAAGACAGGCGUGAAAUCCCCGGGCUUAACCUGGGAAUUGCGUCUGUGACUGUAUGGCUAGAGUGUGUCAGAGGGGGGUAGAAUUCCACGUGUAGCAGUGAAAUGCGUAGAUAUGUGGAGGAAUACCAAUGGCGAAGGCAGCCCCCUGGGAUAACAC
rnacentral:rRNA from 1 species